rnacentral:rRNA from 1 species
UACAGAGGUCUCAAGCGUUGUUCGGAUUCAUUUGGCGUAAAGGGCGUGUAGGCGGCGCGCUAAGUCGGGUGUGAAAUUUCGGAGCUUAACUCCGAAACUGCAUUCGAUACUGGCGUGCUUGAGGACUGGAGAGGAGACUGGAAUUCACGGUGUAGCGGUGGAAUGCGUAGAUAUCGUAAGGAAGACCAGUGGCGAAGGCGGGUCUCUGGACAGUGCCUGACGCUGAGGCACGAAGGUCAGGGGAGCAAACGGG